GAUGAACGCUGGCGGCGUGCCUAAUACAUGCAAGUCGAGCGAACAGACGAGGAGCUUGCUCCUCUGACGUUAGCGGCGGACGGGUGAGUAACACGUGGAUAACCUACCUAUAAGACUGGGAUAACUUCGGGAAACCGGAGCUAAUACCGGAUAAUAUAUUGAACCGCAUGGUUCAAUAGUGAAAGACGGUUUUGCUGUCACUUAUUGAUGGAUCCUCGCCGCAUUAGCUAGUUGGUAAGGUAACGGCUUACCAAGGCAACGAUGCGUAGCCGACCUGAGAGGGUGAUCGGCCACACUGGAACUGAGACACGGUCCAGACUCCUACGGGAGGCAGCAGUAGGGAAUCUUCCGCAAUGGGCGAAAGCCUGACGGAGCAACGCCGCGUGAGUGAUGAAGGUCUUCGGAUCGUAAAACUCUGUUAUUAGGGAAGAACAAAUGUGUAAGUAACUAUGCACGUCUUGACGGUACCUAAUCAGAAAGCCACGGCUAACUACGUG
rnacentral:rRNA from 1 species